rnacentral:rRNA from 1 species
GCGGAUGUUUAAGUGGGAUGUGAAAUCCCCGGGCUUACCUGGGGGCUGCAUUCCAAACUGGAUAUCUAGAGUGCAGGAGAGGAAAGCGGAAUUCCUAGUGUAGCGGUGAAAUGCGUAGAGAUUAGGAAGAACACCAGUGGCGAAGGCGGCUUUCUGGACUGUAACUGACGCUGAGGCACGAAAGCGUGGGUAGCAAACAGGAUUAGAUACCCUGGUAGUCCACGCCGUAAACGAUGGAUACUAGGUGUAGGGGGUAUCAACCCCCCUGUGCCGCAGUUAACACAAUAAGUAUCCCGCCUGGGGAGUACGGUCGCAAGAUUAAAACUCAAAGGAAUUGACGGGGGCCCGCACAAGCAGCGGAGCAUGUGGUUUAAUUCGAAGCAACGCGAAGAACCUUACCUGGACUUGACAUCCCUUGCAUAGCCUAGAGAUAGGUGAACCCUUCGGGGCAAGGAGACAGGUGGUGCAUGGUUGUCGUCAGCUCGUGUCGUGAGAUGUUAGGUUAAGUCCUGCAACGAGCGCAACCCUUGUUAUUAGUUGCUACCAUUAAGUUGAGCACUCUAAUGAGACUGCCUGGGUAACCAGGAGGAAGGUGGGGAUGACGUCA